UACGUAGGGGGCGAGCGUUGUCCGGAUUUAUUGGGCGUAAAGAGCUCGUAGGCGGUUUGUCGCGUCUGCUGUGAAAACCCGAGGCUCAACCUCGGGCCUGCAGUGGGUACGGGCAGACUAGAGUGCGGUAGGGGAGAUUGGAAUUCCUGGUGUAGCGGUGGAAUGCGCAGAUAUCAGGAGGAACACCGAUGGCGAAGGCGGGUCUCUGGACAGUUCCUGACGCUGAGGCACGAAGGUCAGGGGAGCAAACGGG
rnacentral:rRNA from 1 species